CGUGGAAGCCGGAGAGAGCCUCUGGCGCGCUCUGAGAGGGCACCGGGAGGCGACAGUGAAUGCAGCCUCGCUUUGCUGAACUCGAAAGGCCUGCGCGCCACGCUUCUUUGCAUGACCCCGCCGGGCUCGCCGAGGAGGACCCCCUGUGUUGGUUCUGGGCCUGAAGCUAGCCUUGCCUUGGAAGCCUGCAGUUUUUUGGGUCGCGUGGUAUGCAGAAGGUGGCUGUAAAGUGGUGCGUGACACAGCGGCGGCAGAGGACAGCCAGGCCCCGGUGGGCCUGUUACAACCCUGACCUCGCUCUCUCAGGCGCAGUGCCUUCUGCUGCACGACCCGUGAAGUCACUGUCCCUGUAAUUCCCAGUUUUGGGGUUCUAUGCUAUGAAGUUGGAUUCUAUUUAACUUUUUCUAACCACCUCCACUUUUGGUGGCUGAUUGUAAAAUAAACUCAUUCAUUCCUUCAUUGCUGUCUCAAGACAAACAUAAAGAUUAGGGUGUACUUCCAGCCCCUGAGGUCACAAAUCUGGGUAUAAAGGACAGAACAAAGACACUGGCUUUAUUAUGGGGUUAUUUGUCCACUCAAAGUUCCUGCAGUUCUUGGUAUGACCUUUCAGGAUUCGCUUCUUGCCAAAUUAACCAAAAGUCCUAUAAAUCAGUCUGCUACAACGCUGGUUCCUAAUGUUGUUUCACAAUCCUUUCACAGGGAUACUUUGGUUUAUUGUGAAGAAUUUAACUGCCCUUUGUUGUCUGGUUUUUUUUUUUUUUUUUAAACCAAAUGGGUGCAGAAUGAAAUUAGAGGUGACUAAGUGACCGUGGAGAAGUGAGGAAGUUGAACAAUAAAAUCAUCAAAACUUAGGUUUGGAAGGACCGUUGGAGACCAUUGGGACAUGCUCCAUUCAACACAAUUAUCCUGUUUCUAGAAUAUUCUUCAGCCCCUUGCCAGCCACUUCAGGGCUAAGUGUUUAGCAUACGGCAAGAGGUCCAGUCUGCGUUUUUCUUUUAUUUUGACAGUCUUUCUUAAAAAGAAAGCUUUUCUUUAUGUAGAGGCCGAUCUGUGCCUCUUUAACUUUGACCAAAUGCUGUAGUCUGCGCUCUGAGGUAACAAAGCUGCGGACAGCAGUGUCAAAAAUGAAAACCAAGAAGGAAUGGAGGAUGACGGCAUGCGCGUGUAACCCCGGCACUUUGAGAGGCCAAGGCAGAUGGAUCUCAAGUCCAAGCCCAGCCUGGGAAACUCAGCCCCUUCGGAAGAUCUAUCUCAAAAGACAAAGGAGAUAGACGGGGAGGAGGGAAGAAGAAAGUAUGAGAGAGGGGUAUUGGAAAGCUGAGAUGCAGAGCCAAAGCGGCCAGAGGAUGUUGGCGUCACUGCACAUGCGUGAACCCUCAGGAAAGCUAGAGUCAAAAUCGUUCUCGCCGCUCCAAACAAGGAUUUAUCCUGCAGUUUGCUUGAGUUUCUUCCAUCUGUCCCAGAUGUCCCAGUUUCUCCCAGUUACAGUCACUUGUUUAUAUUUGCCUCUCUUGAUUAGAAGCAAAGAACAGUAACCUACAGCCUGGUUCCAAAUUCCUCGCUGCUCCAAGUGUUGGAACAGAAGGCGGGAGGAAGAAUGAAUCGGACUCAUUUUCUGUGCACGGCCUGAUUUCCUUCAGUUCUAUUCCGGAGCACUGGCGCCUACGUUUAUUUUCAUGGCUGGAAUUAAGCAAUUUCAGAAGGUCCCUGGGCAGGUUAAUGACAGAGCCAGAUUUAGUAUGCACAGCGGCUGGCUUCCUGGUGGGGGCUCUGGGCCUCGCGGCUGCGUGGCCCUGCUGCCUGGUGCUCCAGAUCACACGCUUGUCAACUGCAAGGAGCUUCCUAAGCCCAUUGUCGUGAACAAGCUUUAUUAAACAUUGCACAUACGAAAGACCCAGGCACCAAAAUCUUGAAACAUGGAAAAUAUCUCCCCUUUAAACA